rnacentral:rRNA from 1 species
UACAGAGGUCUCAAGCGUUGUUCGGAUUCAUUGGGCGUAAAGGGUGCGUAGGCGGCGCGGUAAGUCGGGUGUGAAAUCUCGGGGCUUAACUCCGAAACUGCAUUCGAUACUGCCGUGCUUGAGGACUGGAGAGGAGACUGGAAUUUACGGUGUAGCGGUGAAAUGCGUAGAUAUCGUAAGGAAGACCAGUGGCGAAGGCGGGUCUCUGGACAGUUCCUGACGCUGAGGCACGAAGGCUAGGGGGAGCAAACGGG